rfam:Brassica oleracea var. oleracea cultivar TO1000 chromosome C1, whole genome shotgun sequence
AACCCAUGGUGAGGGCAUUCCCUUCGGUACUCCUUGGAACGUUCCCAAGCAUCAUAGAAAGGCUCGUCAGUCGUUUUCUUAAAAUUGGAGAUGUUAUGCCUCAGAGC